AGCCAUUGUGCUAGUGAUGUCGGGUAUAGAUCCGACUCCCUCUCGAAGAAUAGUAUAGGCUCUCCAUUCACAACUUCUACUCUAUUCGUCCUCAGCACACAGAGCCCAAAAUCUACUAAACUUCCCUCUCCAAGCAUCUAAACUAUAGAAGGUAACCCAACACCUUGGGAUGGUGGGUUAUAUGGCUAAAUUGAAAGGA
rnacentral:ribozyme from 1 species